GCUGGAGUGCAGUGGCGUGGUCACUGUUGAGUGCAGCCUCAAAUUCCAGGGCUCAAGAAAUCCUUCCCGUCUCAGCCUCCCAA
rnacentral:antisense_RNA from 1 species